GUUACAGCCGCCGCGGUAAUACGUAGGGGGCGAGCGUUGUCCGGAUUUAUUGGGCGUAAAGAGCUCGUAGGUGGUUUGGUAAGUCGGAUGUGAAAUCUCCAGGCUCAACCUGGAGGGGUCAUUCGAUACUGCCAUGACUAGAGUUCGGUAGGGGAGUGUGGAAUUCCUGGUGGAGCGGUGAAAUGCGCAGAUAUCAGGAGGAACACCCGUAGCGAAGGCGGCACUCUGGGCCGAUACUGACACUGAGGAGCGAAAGCGUGGGGAGCGAACAGGAUUAGAAACCCUCGUAGUCC
rnacentral:rRNA from 1 species